rnacentral:lncRNA from 1 species
AUGGGCCAGACACGUUGCCGCGCGCCGGCCCGCCCGCCUGCAGCUCCGGAGCCAGGCGCCCGGGAAAGCGCGUCCCUUCCGCGCGGGCCGGGCCGGGCGCGCCAAGCAGCCCUCGCCACCCGCGCCGCCUCCGCAACCCCGGGCCCCCGCCCGCGGAGCCCAGGUGCCGAGGGGGCGGGGCGGGCCGGGGUCCCCGCGUGGCGCGCGGCGACGAGCAACAGGGCGUCCUCCGGCCGGCCCCGGCGAGCGGCGAGACCGUUACCCGAGCGGCGUGGGGGCCCCGGCAACUCACCGGCUCGCACCUCGGCCGCCUCCGCGCCGCCGCCGCCGCUCCCCACGCCCGCCGCUGCCGCUCUCGCUCAGCCGCAGGCGCCGCCGAGCAGCCCCAUCUACAAACUCGGGGCUCGUAGUUGGGGAUUGGAAAGGCGGCUCUCGCUCCCCUCCGCCUCCCGCUCCCUCCGCCCACUCGCCGGCUCCCCACUCCGCCCCGGCUCCGGUUGCCGGCGCCGCCACCUCCGCGCGCGCCGCCUGCUCCCCUCCGCCGCCCUCCUCCUCCUCCUCCUCCUCCACCUCCCCCCCCCCCCCCCCCCCCCCCCCCCCCCCCCCCCCCCCCCCCCCCCCCCCCCCCCCCCCCCCCCCCCCCCCCCCCCCCCCCCCCCCCCCCCCCCCCCCCCCCCCCNNNNNNNNNNNNNNNNNNNNCCUCCUCCUCCCCCUCUUCCCCCUCCUCCUCCCACCGCCGCUGCCGCCGGGGCGCGCGCCCUCCCGGCCUUGCGCGUGCGCCGGACGCCGGGGAGCGCGCGCUCGGGCGCGAGGAGGCGCCACCGCCUCCGGAAAGCCGGGCCCCGCCCCUCGGGCCGCGGCGCAGCGGCCAGGUGGAGCCCCCUCCCUGCGAGCGCCCGCAGACGGCGCCCGCCUGCGGCGCCCGGGGCUGAGCCUGCGCCCCGCGGCCUCCCCGCAGGUCCUCCGGCUCCUGGCCUCCCGCCGCGCCCGCGAGAGGGUCCGUUAGACCCGGUCCCGCCGGCUCUUCCACGGCGAAAUUGCCGCUGUCAUUCAGCAUUUACUGAUGGGCAAGAUACUCUACGGAGCAUCAAAGAAACUCCUCUCUGCCCUUUCCAAGAGUUUACAUUCAAAGAACCCGGUCGUGGGGCACAAAGGAUUAAACAGACCUCGAAGAAAAGCCUCUGGAAAAUCUCCUCCCUCCCCCCACCCCCACCCCUGGUUCUGAUGUGUAUUUGGCAGGUUCUACAGCGCUGA